CAUGUCAUCAGCAAUUUCAUCUGCUAGGCAACCUGCGUUACCGUUCUUGACGAGGGCCGGCAGGUUUAGUGAGGUUCUGUAACUGUUUAUGCCUUGGAGAAGGGUAUCCUCAUCCUUAUCUGCAGGCAAAUAGGUAUGGUAAGUUUGAAAAUGGUUAAUUAGCCACUGAAAUUCUAAAAUAAUACCAAAUGCUACAACCAUGAUCCUAUCACUAACUUAAUUGCUAAACAUGCAUGCAUGCCAUCAAGGAUAUAUGUGAAUCAUAUAUUCACAAUCUAACGCCUAGUCUUGGAUUUUUAUCAGAAUUAGGUUAUUAAUUGUUAAUCAUUUAUAUUAAUUUGUUGCUAUUUUCUAAUACACCUAGGUCUGAGUGAUUAAGCUGGGAUAAUAUCGGUGCAUAUAUAAUUUGGACUCGAUACACUCACAUAGUCCGUGACACAACAACAUUAAUACUUUUUUAUAACAAUCUUGACAGAAUAAGUUCAUCAGUUGUACUAGAAAAUAGCAAGUAAUCAAAUGCAAGGAGAAAAAGUAAAACACACCUUAACCUUGGUUAAUUGCGAGUAACCAAGAAACUGAAAAAUUGCAUUCAUACCAAGAACAAAAAUUGCAUUCAUAUAUAUCUUAAAUUAGACAAACUAGGGACCCUGUUUAUAGUAAUGCUAUGCCUAACAUGUCUGCAUGCAAAAGAACACAGAUGAGAGAGAGAGCAUACCAGAACUCUGCACCAAUGGAGAAAGCAAGACAAAGGCAUGUGCAAUCACAAAGAAGAAGAAGAAGAAGCUAAGUUUGGUCAGGGAGGCCAUAGUUUCAAUUAAUGCUACGGCUGAAUGCCUUUUCUGGAAGUUAAAUAAGGUUUGUAGAUUGGAACGCACCAGAGAGAGAGAGAGAGAGAGAGACAAGGGAAAGAGUUGAGAGAUUGUUAUAUGAGUUGCUAAAGCCUCACAUAUUUGUUCUUUAAGGCAAUUUUCCAGGUGUUCGAGUAUUGAUCGAUUACACAAUGCUAAACUUGGUGCCUAAUUGACAUGUAUCGGUUGCUUGGCCUGUCGCCCUUGCACGUGUACUACAUGCAAAGCAUGGCUCGAGACCCUUUUUCAACGGCUCUCUUACGGAUCAAAUAUGCCGACAAUUUCAACUUCUAUUCGGGAUGCACAUCAUCUUUUGUUUUUAUCUUACAUCAUCUUAGCUAAUACUUUUUAUAAGUACUUAGCUUCUUACUCUCGGAGGGGUUAAUUAUGGCAGCUAAACAUGAGUGCAUAGAGAUAAUCCCCACAUACGAUGAGCUUCUUACUCUCGGAGGGGUUAAUUAUGGCAGUUAAACAUGAGUGCAUAGAGAUAAUCCCCACAUACGAUGAGCCAAAUAGUGCUUCUCUACCUAUCACUUUCAGAAAAUCCUCUCGAAUAUCUUCAGGCAUGGCCAUGUCAACAAACCUAUUAAGACAAUGAAACAUACAAAAAUUAUGCUAUGUUUUGAUGUAUUUUAAACAUUUGGAUUUUUAACAACAAUUAGAUCAUUAUAUCUUGAACAAAAACUUAACGACUACAAUUUCAUAUAGUAGUACUCCGGAGCAUACGAGAAAACAUCUAAACAUAUCAAAGCAUAUAUAUUACUUUGGACGUACUAGAGAUUUCUUUUCUAGUAAACUUUGGGAUAUUCGACCUCAUAGAACCUUACUUGAAGUACGUAAACAACUCUUGAUUUCGAGAGAUUUUACGCUCGAAAUAAAAGGGAUUACGUUAUGGUACAAUCCGAUAGACACUUGAAAAGAAUGUCCCCUCCAAAUAGUGGCGGAUUCAAAAAAUAUAAGGAGUCACAAAAAAUUUUUGGACGGUAUGGCAUGAAAAUCAGCAUUUCGUCCAACUUUGGUAUGUUGAAGUUAUUUAUUAAGUUGCAGCCUGUCAAUAGAUGCCAACAACUUUCGAACAAGCAUGUCGACUGAUGUCAAUAGAUAUUGAGUGGGCAUAAAGCCAGAUGCCAACAUAUAUUAAGUGCGCCUAUUAAAACAUGCCUAUAGCAAAGUUUUCAAAGUCAUAAGGCUAGCAGCUACCCGUCCAAUGCCUACAAAGGCUAUUCGUCAUGGGCAACUUCUCAAGGCAUCUCAUAUUUUAAAAGAGCAGCAUGAGCAACUUCUAAAGGCAUCUCAGAUUUAAAAGAGCAGCACCCAGGACUUUCAUAGAGAAUUUAUCCGUUUUAGGGGACAUGUCACCCACUUUGUUCUAAGGUGAAUCCACCUCUACCUCCAAAUGUCUAAUAACAUGCCGGGCACAUUAAAAAAUUUCUCCUUAAUCUCAGGCAGGGCCAUUUCAACACUACUGUCCGCUUCAACAGAUGUUCACGCUGCAUGCGACUGUCAG
rnacentral:lncRNA from 1 species